AUUGAACGCUGGCGGCAUGCCUUACACAUGCAAGUCGAACGGCAGCACGGGGGGUAACCCCUCGGUGGCGAGUGGCGAACGGGUGAGUAAUACAUCGGAACGUAUCCUGUAGCGGGGGAUAACCUCUCGAAAGAGAGGCUAAUACCGCAUACGACCUACGGGUGAAAGAGGGGGAUCGCAAGACCUCUCACUAUUGGAGCGGCCGAUGUCGGAUUAGCUAGUUGGUGGGGUAACGGCCCACCAAGGCUACGAUCCGUAGCUGGUCUGAGAGGACGACCAGCCACACUGGAACUGAGACACGGUCCAGACUCCUACGGGAGGCAGCAGUGGGGAAUUUUGGUACAAUGGGCGCAAGCCUGAUCCAGCCAUGCCGCGUGGGUGAAGAAGGCCUGGUGUAAG
rnacentral:rRNA from 1 species